rnacentral:rRNA from 1 species
AGAAUCAACGCUGGCGGCGUGCCUAACACAUGCAAGUCGCACGAGAAAGGGACUUCGGUCCUGAGUACAGUGGCGCACGGGUGAGUAACACGUGAAUAAUCUACCUCCGAGUGGGGAAUAAACUGAGAGAAAUCUUAGCUAAUACCGCAUAACACUUACGAGUCAAAGCAGCAAUGCGCUUGGAGAGGAGUUCGCGGCAGAUUAGUUAGUUGGCGGGGUAAUGGCCCACCAAGACGAUGAUCUGUA